GAUGAAGAACGUAGCGAAAUGCGAUAAGUAAUGUGAAUUGCAGAAUUCAGUGAAUCAUCGAAUCUUUGAACGCACAUUGCGCCCGCCAGUAUUCUGGCGGGCAUGCCUGUUCCAGCGUCAUUUCAACCAUCAAGCCCCCGGCUUGUGUUGGGGACCUGCGGCUGCCGCAGGCCCUGAAAAGCAGUGGCGGGCUCGCUGUCACACCGAGCGUAGUAGAUUUCAUCUCGCUCAGGGCGUGCUGCGGGUUCCGGCCGUUAAACCACCUUCAUAACCCAAGGUUGACCUCGGAUCAGGUAGGAAGACCCGCUGAACUUAAGCAUAUCAAUAAGCGGAGGA
rnacentral:misc_RNA from 1 species